GAUCCUUGCUUACAAAGAACAGAGAUGGAUAGUCUUUGUCACUGCCUCUCUGCCAGCAAGGAAAAGAAAAAUAAUGCUUCCUUCCCCCCUUGCAAUGCUAACAACUCCAAGUCUGUGCAUUCAGCAGCAGGCAAGACUUGGAACCAAGCUACCUCGAGGGGUUCCCUGCAGAUCCCAGACACCAGUUCGGUGCCCAGGAGAGCGUCAAACAGCUCCGGUUUGAAAUCAAAACGCGAUUGCGGUGGUUGUGUUGUCAUCGUCCCCGUUCCGCCGCUGUGGUCUUUGCGAGGAGGAGGCGUCUUUGGGGAGCGGGUCCAGCUCGGCUCGUUGCUAUGGCAAAGUCUCUGCUGAUGCCUGCUCUCCGCCUGUAAUUGCUAUUCAGCAGCUGCUUCCAGUGGUCGUCUGGAGGAACUCGCACAAGUUAGGGCUGUGAAAAUCCCUCCCCGUACGUUGGCCUUCGCUGGAACCGAGCUUUGACAAGAGAGAUGCAUUAGCUUCCAAACUCGCCAGUAAUUAGGUUGGUUUGAGUGUACUUUGCUGAAAGUUAAGGCUCUGGAGCUGGGAGAGGAGGGUGGAGGGGGAAGGAGCAACUUUAAAAUCAAUAUUGCAAAUGCAAUGCAAAAGAGUGUAAUUAGCAUGUUUUGCAGGGCCUAUUAAUUCCUCUGAAAUGCUGUUUAUUAGGCAAAAGAACUUGGGAGCCCAUCAGUGGAUUAAACAGGUUCUGUAAUGAAAUGUAAAUGGUGUAAUUGGGCUUGUUCUGAAAGUAUUUAUUCUUCACCUGUGACCCGCUUGAUUGCGGUUUGACAACACGAAGGAGUGUGCAUCUCUUCGUUAAUGACAGCUAAUUCCCUGGAGCUAAUGGAGUGGGACGCCCAGGCGCAUGGCGCUGGGAACGGCAGGUCGUGCCUGGAGCUCCGCAGUGAUUGGCACCAAUCCGAGCACAAUGUAACUUUAAUUACAGUAAUUCCAAAUCCAAAGCAAGCAUUUAGCUGCCGGAGAGAGGCUCUUAAUUUUGCAAAUAGAUGCCGUAUAAUGCGCUGACCUUUUAUUAGACAAAUAUUGGGAUGGGUGGGAACGCUGUCCUCCAGGAUGCAGGUAACGUUAUUGGCUCCCAUUAGCUCAGUGGAAAUCAGAGGCACGUUCUCGCUGCCAGGUUAGCCAUAUGGAUCUCCUUCAACAUGCAACCUCGUGGAGCCAGGAGGGAAAUGUGGUGCUGUAUGUUAUUUAACUGCAGUCUCUGCAUCAAAGCAUGAAAUUCGUCUGCUGCUCCUCUGCCUUAUGUGUGUGCUUUUGGCUGGGUAGGCCACUGGGAUUUUUUUUUGUAUGCGUUGUUUUCCCUUUUUACAAAUCCUCUUUAUCCAAACUGUGCAGUGCUAAAUAUCUCCAGGCACGCAGCAAAGGUCACGCAGCAUUCCUGGAGGAAGAGAACAAAACACUUGGUUUUGUCUGGUGUUAUGGCAUUAAGGUGUUUGGUAACACCUUUCCAUAGGGUCGAGAUGUCUGAGCACAGCCACGUGUCCCUUCACUCACAGAGGAGAAGAGCUGCCAGUGCGGAGCCCUGGUGUUCUUCUGGGAGGGAGAGCUGCUCAGCGCACACCAGCAGGGACCGGCUGUCCCCCCGUUCUCCUCCUGAAACCACAAGCCUCCGCCUUUGCCUCCUGUUAGCUCAGACUUUCUCUUAGCCAGGAGUCUUGUUCAAGUUGGAAUGAGCCGGGCAGGGAAGCUUUCACCCAGGCAAUGUCCAGGUCUGUGCGGAUGGGUUUGGAACAGGCCCCCAGGGAGCUGCUGUGGGCUGUCAGCUUAGUGUUUGGAGCAGAAGCGAUACAAUUUCUGCAUGUAAUGCCUUUCUUUUCUGCUUCAUUAUUCUUGCUCCACUGCCUCUUUCUAUCUAAGAGCUGCAAGGCAGAGAUGUAGGAGUGGAAGCGUGGUCAGAGGUCUCUGUGUCACGCUGAUCUCGGGCUUCUCCCCUGAGUGGGGACAUGCUGGGAAGAAGGCAGAGUGGGAGGCAGCUGUUGGCUGGGGGGAACGCAGCACGACUGGUCGACAUUCAGCCACCUGAACAAAUGGAUGAGAAUCAUCAAGCAGGGAAUACAUAAAGGAUGUUAGAGAGAAUGAGAAACGAGGGGUGUUUGAUGCUACUGUGGAGCAGCGGCCAACGCGAGGCAGUUGGCUGAACCCCGUCCAGCAGAGAGAUGAGAAGAGUGGCAAAUGGGAGGGAGCAUCCUAGCGAGGCCAGGCACGUCGCUGCUUCCCAGCAGAUGGCUUUCCAUGCACACUGCCUAAUCCCGACAGAAAUAACACCUUCUCUGGAUGCUCUCGUGCUCCUGUUCGUGUACAGCGGUCUUUUUGCUCUGGAUUUGGGCUUUGUGGAGAGCCAGGCCGUUGGCACACAACGGGAGAAGAGCACAGCAGAGGCAGAGCAGCCUCUGGCUAGAGCGUGGCUGCAUCGAGCAGGGUCUCCUGCUGUUAAAUGAGUCCUGCUCCCCAGCCCCUCUCCCUAAAGCACAGAAGACGCAGCUCUCCUGGGAGUCUUGGUGGGAAGUGAUAGAUGGAGGGGCCGUGUUAGCACUGCAAAAGAGAUUUCCUUGGCAAACAAGAGCAAAAAUAAGUAUGGGCAUUGUUAGAAAAAUCAGAAACCUUCAGGCUUGUCUACCUCUUUCCCCUCACCUUUGCAAAUGUGCCAGUCAGUCCCUGAUGAUGAUUCCUCUUGCUCCUGGCCCAUCGCGACUGCAUGGCCUCUCCUAGCCCUUGCUGCUCAGUCUGUUCCCAGCCAGUCCCCAAAGCCUUCAGCGCUCUGAGUAUUUUCUGAAAUAGUUUUUAAUAGGCAGCCCUAGACCACAGGUAGAAACCAGGCAGAUUGCAUGUGGCCCGUAGUGCUGACAAUAAACCCAAAAUAGAAAUAUUGUCCGUCUCCUUUGUAGAAGCCCAGUUUUUGGAGUUAUUUAAUCUCGCAGCUUCCAGAUGCGUGCUUCUGGCUGCUGGUAAAGCCCAAUCUGGCUUUCUAAAUUCAGAUGCUUUUCUUUUUAGCACAUACAGAGAUAGUUCAGGUAAACAAUCUGUACAAACACUGAAGUGUUCAGGCAACUGGUACAUAUGAUAGAGCCGCCUACAAGACUGUCCUAAAUGUCCAUUUUCUUAGUGACAGCACGAGCUUCUGAGCACUGCUGGCUGCAGACCACACGUGUGUAGCUCAGGGAUGUUUCUGCAGGCAUUAUUGGGGAGCAAAGCAGGGCUGCCCAAAGGCAGGACCUCCCUGCCAUUGAGCCUUUUCCUAUUGAGCCUCAAAGCUUUUCAUGGAAGAAACUCUGCCUCUGACGUGUCCCAACAAAUACCUGUUGCGUUUUGGGUGCUAAACAAGUAAGAACUAAUGACUGUACUGGAAAACCAGUGAGUGGAUUAAUGCUGCUGCUGUAAGCAACCAGGGCUGGUGGCUGGGGAGCAGCAGCAGGCUGCUUGGUUUGAGCGGCAGCUCCUGGUCAUUAAUACAGGGCUUUGAUCUCCGAAGUAAGAGAUUAUUCCCCCAUGGCCCUUUGGCGUGAGGAAGCGGUGAGAGAGUGACAGCAGUAAAAUGUGGCCGUUUGAGAGGCUCCUCCAGUGUUUUACUGAGAUUAGAUCUCCAAGAGGAGCUGUUAGAAGGAAGGGAAGAUGGAGUGGCAGGUUAUGUGACCGCUGUGACUCAUUAAUAUAACAAAAUUUAUGUCCGGAGUACUCGCACCACUGGUACAAACCAACUCCGAGGAGCUGAUUUCUGUCUUCUCCCGGUGCUGCCAUGAAAAGCCUCUGCGGGGAAUGUGCUGGCUCCUUUGGCAGCCUCCUGCAUUUGCUCUGACCCUCCAGCCCCAGGAGGUGGAGGUUUGGCUGUGCCACCGGGAUGGGCUCCGUGUUCUGUGCCUGCACAACCUCGGUUGUGAGCGGCACAACAGCUGGUUACAAAAAGCCAUCACAGGCAUGGGUGUCUGACAGCCUUUAAUCUCACUAGGGCAGGGCUUUGUUUGUUUGUUUCUUUUUGUCUUCGUGAAAUUUUCAGAGUAUUGAGACACGGCUGCUGAGAGGUGGUGAUGGAGAUGCUCGUUUUAUUGAAUUUCGACCCCUGUACCAAUAAAUCAUAACGCAAACUGAUGGGAAAAAUGAUCUUUCACCAGCAUUAGCACUGCCAGAAAACAAGUCAAUAGAGACCAGACCUUUUCACCCAAAGGUCCCCAGUCCAUGGCUGGGUCCUUGCCAGAAGUGACAGAUAAUCAUUGACACUGAGCAGCAGUUUUUCUCUCCAGGAAGGGUUUUUGACCUUUAUCUCUUUCCUGUUAAACAGAAGAUGAACGAAACGCAAACCACUGUGGCCUUGUGUCUAGCUCGGUGGCCUGGAGUCCACGAUGCUACUUCUUGCUAUCCAAAAAGGAGAGGUUUGAGCCUGCCCUGGCCAUGGGAUACUCAAGGCACAGCUGAGCCUGGCUCCCCCCACCUCGCCACACUGCU